GCACGCCUGCAGGAGAGGGAGAUGCUGGAAUGUUAGGAGGGAGUACAGAGGAGAACACAAGACCUCACACAGGAUAACCAUGCAGAAAGGAGACGCGGGGCACGUCACAGUAACUUCCUGUCCAUCCUGAAUUACACUCGCAGCGGAUAGAGGAGCCUAUCUGUGUACAACGACCCCCAUUCUGGCAGGGAGAGCGGCGACAGAGAUCCAGUAGAUUCUACAAUACAAGAUUACCAGAGCUGAUGAGAUCUCCACUGUUCUAUUGUCUUAGUAGACUGUGUUCCAACCUACGCGCAGUCUUCCUCACCUGACACUGCACCCCUGUGUAACCAGUUGGGCAGAUGCAGCGAUAGGACUCAACCCUGUCCACGCAAACAGCUCCAUUCUGGCAGGGCCGCGAGGCACACUCAUCCACUUCAAGAUGGCAGUGACUUCCGGUGAAGCCAGAGCCGCAGAUGCAGGUGUAAGUGUUCACACCAUCCACACAGGUGCCUCCAUUGAAACAAGAACUAGGAUGAAGACAUAAAGCUGGAUUAGUACAGUGACAGCAGCCACUAUCGGGAACCAGACAUCACUCCAUACAUAGACCACUUGCACAGUGACUCACUCAUGCUUAGCUGUUGAUGAAUUGUUAUUUGGCUGCAAAACGAAACUAUAAACUGCUGACUCAUGA